rnacentral:rRNA from 1 species
CGCAGCCGCGGUAAUUCCAGCUCCAAUAGCGUAUAUUAAAGUUGUUGCAGUUAAAAAGCUCGUAGUUGAAUUUCGGGGUUAGUAGGUUGGUCGUGCCUCUGGUAUGUACUGGUCUCACUGAUUCCUCCUUCCUGAUGAGCCGUAAUGCCAUUAAUUUGGUGUUGCGAGGAAUCUGGACUGUUACUUUGAAAAAAUUAGAGUGUUUAAAGCAGGCUAACGCUUGAAUACAUUAGCAUGGAAUAAUGAAAUAGGACGUUCGAUCCUAUUUUGUUGGUUUCUAGGAUUGACGUAAUGAUUAAUAGGGAUAGUUGGGGGCAUUAGUAUUCAAUUGUCAGAGGUGAAAUUCUUGGAUUUAUUGAAGACUAACUACUGCGAAAGCAUUUGCCAAGGAUGUUUUCAUUAAUCAAGAACGAAAGUUAGGGGAUCGAAGACGAUCAGAUACCGUCGUAGUCUUAACCAUAAACUAUGCCGACUAGGGAUCGGAUGAUGUAAUUUUUAAUGACUCA